rnacentral:lncRNA from 1 species
AGAUACUAAGCAGCAUAACAAAAAAAAGGAAAACCAUAGGAAUAAUUCAUGAAAACUUUCUUCCUCUCUUAAGCUAUGUCAAGUCCAAAAGACGGAGAAAAACAUGUGUAACGUCCACAUUGCUGGAAACUAACUCCUCUGUUGUUCAUGUGAGCUAGACGACGGCCAUUGGUUUUUGUUGAUAUACUUAUGGCAGAAAAGAUACAGCCAAGACCUUAAAUGACAUGGUAGGAAGGUCAGAUCCAUUUACUUAUCUCAUCAUCACUUUUUUCUUCUGACCAGA